rnacentral:rRNA from 1 species
AGCUCCAAUAGCGUAUAUUAAAGUUGCUGCAGUUAAAAAGCUCGUAGUUGGAUUUGUGGGAUGGCCGUCCGGCGGGGGGCCUUUCAUGGUCCCGUUUGUCCUGGUUUUCGGCCUUCCCUUUCUCGGGUCUAGCGUAUUGGCUGGCAUUAGGUUGUCGGCGGCUUCGCGCCCGUCUUUUACUGUGAAAAAAUUAGAGUGUUCAAAGCAGGCUUAGGCCGUUGGAUAUAUUAGCAUGGAAUAAUGAGAUAAGGCCGCGGUGGUCUUUUCUGUUGGUUUGCCACACGCCGCAAUGGUAAAAAGGAACAGUUGGGGGUAUUCGUAUUCAACUGUCAGAGGUGAAAUUCUUGGAUUUGUGGAAGACGAACUACUGCGAAAGCAUUUACCAAGGAUGUUUUCAUUA